CGCAUCGCCUAUCCCAUCCAAGUAGCAGAACAGUUGCGCACAGUUCCCUGGCCUUUUUUUUUUUUUUUUUUUCUUUCCCCUAUCACACUAGCCAGGAUGCAGAACGCCCUCAGCCAAUUCCCCAAAGUCUUCGGUAUCUUGCGAUACCUCCGCCUUUUUUCUUCUUCCUCCUUCUUGGCGUCCUUCUUAUCCUCCUCCUUCAAGUCUAGGAAUUCCUCCAAAGGGAGCAAAGAAAAAUUUUCCAUGAACUCCCCCUUCCAAAUCUU